rnacentral:rRNA from 1 species
UAGGGAAUCUUCGGCAAUGGGGGGAACCCUGACCGAGCAACGCCGCGUGAGUGACGAAGGUUUUCGGAUCGUAAAGCUCUGUUGUUAAGGAAGAACGAGUGUGAGAAUGGAAAGUUCAUACUGUGACGGUACUUAACCAGAAAGGGACGGCUAACUACGUGCCAGCAGCCGCGGUAAUACGUAGGUGGCAAGCGUUGUCCGGAUUUAUUGGGCGUAAAGCGAGCGCAGGCGGUCAAUUAAGUCUGAUGUGAAAGCCCCCGGCUCAACCGGGGAUGGUCAUUGGAAACUGGGUGACUUGAGUGAAGAAGGGGGGAGUGGAAUUCCAUGUGUAGCGGUGAAAUGCGUAGAUAUAUGGAGGAACACCGGUGGCGAAAGCGGCUCUCUGGUCUGUAACUGACGCAAAGGCUCGAAAGCGUGGGUAGCAAACAGG